GACGAACGCUGGCGGCGUGCUUAACACAUGCAAGUCGAACGGAAAGGCCCUGCUUUUGUGGGGUGCUCGAGUGGCGAACGGGUGAGUAACACGUGAGUAACCUGCCCUUGACUUUGGGAUAACUUCAGGAAACUGGGGCUAAUACCGGAUAGGAGCUCCUGCUGCAUGGUGGGGGUUGGAAAGUUUCGGCGGUUGGGGAUGGACUCGCGGCUUAUCAACUUGUUGGUGGGGUAGUGGCUUACCAAGGCUUUGACGGGUAGCCGGCCUGAGAGGGUGACCGGCCACAUUGGGACUGAGAUACGGCCCAGACUCCUACGGGAGGCAGCAGUGGGGAAUAUUGCACAAUGGGCGGAAGCCUGAUGCAGCAACGCCGCGUGCGGGAUGACGGCCUUCGGGUUGUAAACCGCUUUCGCCUGUGACGAAGCGUGAGUGACGGUAAUGGGUAAAGAAGCACCGGCUAACUACGUGCCAGCAGCCGCGGUGAUACGUAGGGUGCGAGCGUUGUCCGGAUUUAUUGGGCGUAAAGGGCUCGUAGGUGGUUGAUCGCGUCGGAAGUGUAAUCUUGGGGCUUAACCCUGAGCGUGCUUUCGAUACGGGUUGACUUGAGGAAGGUAGGGGAGAAUGGAAUUCCUGGUGGAGCGGUGGAAUGCGCAGAUAUCAGGAGGAACACCAGUGGCGAAGGCGGUUCUCUGGGCCUUUCCUGACGCUGAGGAGCGAAAGCGUGGGGAGCGAACAGGAUUAGAUACCCUGGUAGUCCACGCUGUAAACGGUGGGUACUAGGUGUGGGGUCCAUUCCACGGGUUCCGUGCCGUAGCUAACGCUUUAAGUACCCCGCCUGGGGAGUACGGCCGCAAGGCUAAAACUCAAAGGAAUUGACGGGGCCCCGCACAAGCGGCGGAGCAUGCGGAUUAAUUCGAUGCAACGCGUAGAACCUUACCUGGGUUUGACAUGGAUCGGGAGUGCUCAGAGAUGGGUGUGCCUCUUUUGGGGUCGGUUCACAGGUGGUGCAUGGCUGUCGUCAGCUCGUGUCGUGAGAUGUUGGGUUAAGUCCCGCAACGAGCGCAACCCUUGUUCACUGUUGCCAGCACGUUAUGGUGGGGACUCAGUGGAGACCGCCGGGGUCAGCUCGGAGGAAGGUGGGGAUGACGUCAAGUCAUCAUGCCCCUUAUGUCCAGGGCUUCACGCAUGCUACAAUGGCUGGUACAGAGAGUGGCGAGCCUGUGAGGGUGAGCGGAUCUCGGAAAGCCGGUCUCAGUUCGGAUUGGGGUCUGCAACUCGACCUCAUGAAGUCGGAGUCGCUAGUAAUCGCAGAUCAGCAACGCUGCGGUGAAUACGUUCCCGGGGCU
rnacentral:rRNA from 1 species